rnacentral:pre_miRNA from 1 species
CUAUUACUCCGUCCGUCCCAUAUUAAGUGCCAACAUAUUACAUGUAUCUAGACGUAUUUUAGUAUAUAGAUACGUAUAUUUAGACAAAUUUGAGUCACUUAAUAUGGGACAGAGGGAGUACAAA